UUUUUAGCGGCGACACUAAGCAUGUCGUCGCUAAUGCUCAUAAUCCGGAGCGCUCACAUAACACCUAAUGCUGACCGUUGAUUAGUGGAGGGAUCCGAUGGCUAGGGUUUCUUUUACGCUGUGAAUGCCAAAAGAAAAACAAGCGCCAAAAUUUCCCCCCGCCCUAACCCUAAACCCUCACUUUCGGACCCAAAUUCACUCUUUCUCUCCCAAAAUUGCCCACCGACCUUCUCUCCCUCCAUCCCUGUGCACCUCAAUUUCCACCUAAGCAAGAGUUCCUGCCGCCACGAGCCACCAUUUUCAGGUCAUCUAGAGAAAAAGGAAAGUGUUAUUCGAAUUCGUCCGCGAAUCAGCGACUGUAGUCUUUGAGCGGCAGACCUUCACCGGCUCACCAGCGGUUCGAGGUGGCUCACCGGACUGUAAUCUUCGAGUGGCAGACCUUCACCGGCUCCAAAAUCGGUCUGAAUAUGCUGCCACAAGCUGGGGAGUUCAAUGAGGUAAAACUAAAAGAAUGUAGGUAUUGAAUAUGUAAUAUAAAGCCUAUUGAUACUCGCGAAAUGCUAACCAGUAUCUAGAAGACAAGCUCAUUUCAGGAGUCAGCUACUGCCACAAUAUGGUAUAAGUUAAAUAAGUAGCUAGUUUAUAUACAAAUUCUUGUUGCACGUGUUUGUCUAAUUACAAAUGUCGCCGCUAAAACUCCAGUUUGUUGUAGCAAGAUUUACGGCGAUAUUAGUGUUGUGCAGUUUUAAGGGGUAUGUAUGUGUCUUUUGUUCCUGGGGUGGUGCAGGGAGGACAUAAGCAUGAGCAUAAGGCUUCUCUUUAGUUGCAAUGGAAUUAAAAUCAGUAUCGUCAACACUUAUCAAGAAAUCAAAUCCUCGAGAUCAAAUCAGCGACUUAGGGAAGCGGUAUAAUCAAUCUUCAUUAGAUAAUAGUCUUCAUCGACGGUAUUGAUUCUUGAUUCCGAUAUCCCCAUCUUUUACAUACGAUUUCGUUUUCUUUAAUCCGAUGUUUCAGAUCCAAUGUUUUGUAGUUUUAAUAAAGAUUAUGUUGUCGAUUCAUCUGAUUUAAGGUACGCUUCAUAUCAAUUCAUCUUUAAAAUAUCGUUUUUCCCCAAUUACGCUUGAACCCUAAUAUCCCAUUCGGCCUCUGUCGAUUCUCUUCCGUUGUCGAUUUGAAUUCUUGGUUUGAAACACGGACUAUUUUUUUCAUGAUUUGAACCGACAAUGAAAACCCUAAAGGUUUUAGAGUUUCUAAUCAGGUGUUUUUUCAGACUGUUUAUUGGAAUCUGAUAGCAUUAGAGUUUCGAUUGACAAUUUUAUGUUUAAUAUUUUGUGUUUAUGAUGUUAUUUUGAAACAGGGUCUCUUUCAAAUAAUAAUAUGCCAGCGAUCCUACUAAGCUAAGGUCUGAUAUCUUCAGUUAUUCUCUGAUUUGAUUCAUUGUUAUUUAGAUUUAAUCCUGAACCAGAUGUUGCUUUGUGUUUCAAAAUAUAAAGUUUAUUAUGUGUAGCGAAUGUUAUAAAUCUUUUGCUUUAAGAAUAUGAAAUUCAUAUGGAUGGUUUGAAUGUUUAAUAUGGUUACAUGUGUUGGAAAUGUUGAUGUUACUAUCAAUUUUGAAAACAAAAUUUAGUUUCAAAAGAGGUUUCAGGUUUUAUAAGAGGUAUGUAUUCGUUCUCUUCAUAUAUUUAAAACUUAUGAAUCACGAUUUUUAGGUCAGACUGUAACCAAACCAUUAGUAGCGCUUUUUGUACAUCAAAAACCGAAGUUGAGUUAUUGUUCUCUUCAUAUAUUUAAAUGUUUUCUUCUUUGAUAUCUUUUUAACUUGACAAUAUUAGGUUUUUAAGUUCAUUCAAAAUUGAUAUUUUUUAAAAUAUCAAUUUAAGUAUCUGAAUAUGCUUAACUGAUUAGGGUUCAAAUAAUCAAUUUAGGGUUUGAAUUUGAUAUUACUGUAUUAAUUGGUAUCUCACUGAUAGAAGCAUCUAACUAGCGGUACAUUCGUCAACAUCUCUAUAUAUUCAAGUAAGAUUCUAUCUCCCUAACCCUCAAGUUUUAUGGUUUUGUUUGAUUUCGAAUUUAGGUUUUAUAACUUAGGAAUGAGUUCAAGUAUUAGCCAGAUUUUCUAUUUUGAUGAGGUUGUAUACGUGCUUCUGCACAUUCUGAUUAUGGAAUGGUCAUUUAUGGUAACAAAUGUCGUUCCUGGCCUCCGGGCAAUUUAACAUAGGCUCUACUAAAUACUAAUCCACGUUAAGUUGUGUUUUUUGUUUGGGUUUAUGAUUUAUUAUAAAUGCAUGUUUUUGGUUUUACAGGUUUGUAGGGAUAACCAUAAGCACUACGGAUUUGGAAGGAUGUUCGUCAUGUCAGUGGGUCCUGAUUCUCAGAGGAUCGAUAACAAAACCAAAUCUCUUGUUUAUCACAAACACGGUCACGAAUGCGGAAUCCCCGUGACUAUGCCAAAUCAAACAUAGACAGUAACAACACAAUAUAACCAAUGAAACACAGUCAAUUGAUUAAAAGGAUGAGUACAAAGAUCAAACAGAUACACACACAGUUUGACGGUAGACUCUCAGGGUAUGCUCUCAUAGUUUCAAAGUGAAACCAUGUUGUGUUUAUAUAGCAGCCUAGGCCCAACAGUGACGAAACUAGGAGUGGGCCCGACGAAACCUCACUUGGGCCUGACAAAACUCUACAGAUGACGAAACUCAAGGAGUUUCAUCACCCAUCACGACGAAACAUGAAGUUGUGACCAAAACAGAGUUUCAUCAUGAAGUGCUCGACGAAACUCUAAGUUUCGUCGAUGGUUGCAUAAGCUGUUUGGCUGCAAACUGUUAGACAUUUUGCAGCAAAUCUUAUAAACACAAACAAACAUAAAAACCAUAACAUGCAACAU